AUGAAUGGAAUAGGUGGCAUCUGGAACCCAGGAAUGGUAGGCAUAGUUGUUGGUAUUGUGAUCGGGAUGGAUGGAAUAAUAGUUGGAAUUGAGGGCAUUGGUGGCAUGGUAACAGGCAAAGUAGGAAUGGUCGGCAUGGUGGUUGGGAUCGCCGGAAUCGGAAGAGAUGGAACUGUGCCAGUGGCGGUUGGUGCCAUGGCGACCUUCGGGAUCGGAAUGAACGGUAUUGGUGGCAUUGUGAGUUUCGGAACUGCGGGAAUGGAAGGAAUUGAAGGCAAUGUGGUUGGAACUUCCGGCGUCGAAGGCUGA
rnacentral:rRNA from 1 species